rnacentral:rRNA from 1 species
GAGGAAAGGCUCAGGCGCUCUGGGAGGGGCUUGCGGCCCAUCAGCUAGUUGGUAGGGUAAAGGCCUACCAAGGCGAAGACGGGUAGGGGGUGUGAGAGCACGGCCCCCCACAAUGGGACUGAAACACGGCCCAUACUCCUACGGGAGUGCGCAGGAGGGAAUAUUGCACAAUAGGCUAAAGCCUGAUGCAGCGACGCCGCGUGAGUGAAUAUUGCCUUCGGGUCGUAAAGCUCUUUUGUAGGGGAAGAGGAAGGACGGUACCCUAAGAAGAAGCGUCGGCUAACUACGUGCCAGCAGCCGCGGUAAGACGUAGGACGCGAGCGUUAUCCGGAAUUACUGGGCGUAAAGGGCCAGCAGGCGGCUUGGUAAGUUGUGCGUGAAAGCCUCGUGCUCAACGCGAGGAAGCCGGACAAUACUGUCAAGCUAGAGGGCAUCAGAGGGGAGUGGAAUUCCCGGAGUAGCGGUAAAAUGCGCAGAUAUCGGGAGGAACCCCGAUGGCGAAGGCAGCUCCCUGGGAUGCACCUGACGCUAAGAGGCGAAAGCUAGGGGAGCGAACAGGAUUAGAGACCCUGGUAGUCCUAGCUGUACACGCUGGGUGCUAGGUGUGGCACGUAGAAGUUCCGUGCCGGAGCAGACGCGAUAAGCACCCCGCCUGGGAAUUACGGUCGCAAGGCUGAAACUCAAACGAAUUGACGGGGCCCCGCACAAGCAGCGGAGCGUGUGGUUCAAUUCGAUGCUACACGAAGAACCUUACCUGGGUUUGACAUGUACGUGGUACGAAGGCGAAAGCCUAAGGACCCUUCGGGGAGCGUACACAGGUGCUGCAUGGCUGUCGUCAGCUCGUGCCGUGAGGUGUCGGGUUAAGUCCCGUAACGAGCGCAACCAUUGCCCUUAGUUACAAGUGUCUAAGGGGACUGCCGGCGGGAAGCCGGAGCCAGCUGGGGAUGACGUCAAGUCAGCAUGGCCCUUAUGUCCAGGGCUACACACACGCUACAAUGGUCAGUACAAAGGGUAGCGAAGUCGCGAGGCGGAGCGAAUCUCAACAAAGCUGAUCGUAGUUCGGAUUGCAGGCUGCAACCCGCCUGCAUGAAGCUGGAGUUGCUAGUAACCGCGCGUCAGCCAU